GAUGAACGCUGGCGGCGUGCCUAAUACAUGCAAGUCGAGCGAACGGACGAGAAGCUUGCUUCUCUGAUGUUAGCGGCGGACGGGUGAGUAACACGUGGAUAACCUACCUAUAAGACUGGGAUAACUUCGGGAAACCGGAGCUAAUACCGGAUGAUAUUUUGAACCUCAUGGUUCAAAAGUUAAAGACGGUCUUGCUGUCACUUAUAGAUGGAUCCGCGCUGCAUUAGCUAGUUGGUAAGGUAACGGCUUACCAAGGCAACGAUGCAUAGCCGACCUGAGAGGGUGAUCGGCCACACUGGAACUGAGACACGGUCCAGACUCCUACGGGAGGCAGCAGUAGGGAAUCUUCCGCAAUGGGCGAAAGCCUGACGGAGCAACGCCGCGUGAGUGAUGAAGGUCUUCGGAUCGUAAAACUCUGUUAUUAGGGAAGAACAUAUGUGUAAGUAACUGUGCACAUCUUGACGGUACCUAAUCAGAAAGCCACGGCUAACUACGUG
rnacentral:rRNA from 1 species